rnacentral:misc_RNA from 1 species
GAUGAAGAACGCAGUGAAAUGCGAUAAGUAAUGCGAAUUGCAGAAUUCAGUGAGUCAUCGAAUCUUUGAACGCACAUUGCGCCCCCUGGUAUUCCGGGGGGCAUGCCUGUCCGAGCGUCAUUGCUGCCCUCAAGCACGGCUUGUGUGUUGGGCCUCCGUCCUCCUCCCGGGGGACGGGCCCGAAAGGCAGCGGCGGCACCGCGUCCGGUCCUCGAGCGUAUGGGGCUUCGUCACCCGCUCUUGUAGGCCCGGUCGGCGCUUGCCGACACAUCAAUCUUUUUUCCAGGUUGACCUCGGAUCAGGUAGGGAUACCCGCUGAACUUAAGCAUAUCAAUAAGCGGAGGA